rnacentral:lncRNA from 1 species
CUGCGUGGGCCACUAGAAGUUCUGGUAAAGAAGCGCUUGCGGUCAAGCAGCCCCCCCCUGCUGGAGGGGAAGUGCCAGGGGCCUUCCUUGCCCAUCUCGAAGCUACUGGGAAGGGAGGGGAUGCUCUGGGAAGGGUCCCCCACCGCUCAGCGGGACGGCGAUGCCCAGGCGGGGGCGCUCGCUGUCUCCCCCUUCCCGGCGGCUCUUCCGCUCUGAAGGAGAGUCGCCGCCGCCAUCGCUGCCGCCGGAGGGCAAUCGGUACCCCCACGGCAGAGCCCCGUCCGAUUUGCUCCCCCCAAACGUUGCGGUUUCCCCNAAGGGCUGCGUUGCUCUUAGGCUGAGAUGCCGUCCGCACCCAAAGCAGCCGAUGCUUCCCCAUCGGCUCGCGGGCCGAGGGGGUUUGACGGCGUCCCAAGGACUUCGGCCCGCGAAGAGACGCCCGUGUCCCUCCGUGGAGGCUUCUACGAGGAGGGGGCAGCUUUCUUGCCCAGAUCGCCCAGCCAGGCUCCCCCUGUUUCCCCACCGAGAGUCCAGCCGGGAGGAGAGUGAGGAGGCACCGGUGGGGGGGGGGGCUUUCGGCCCAGCCUGACACGCGCAGCUUCCAAAGAGGCAAACCUGGGGCAGCCGCCUGCCGAGCGCAAAGCCGAACCUCCACCCCCCCCCCGGAUCGUCGCCGGCUGCACGCGCUGUCCGCGCGGCCCGGCUCAGGAGCGCAGCGCCCAGGUCGGAGCGAUGGGCAGAAUUCAACACCAGGUGGCGCCACAAUACAGGCCAAGGAGGUCUCGCGGACGGCAGGCGGAGGUGCCGGAACACUUCCGCACGUUUUUGCUGCGCUUGGCAGGAGGCAGUCGGGAACCGGUUGCGCGGGGCGACUGGAAGACUGUUGCAACCAUGUUGCNAGCNAGUGCAGUGCAGGGCGGNUUGCCUGCCUGGAACACGUGCACAGAGAAGGAAGCGGCCAUUUCCUGAUACAUGCGGGUAAAUUUCCUCUACCUUUAAACAACCACAUGAGGCCUUGAGCACCUCCCUUUACUCCGCCUUUCUAGAUGACGCUUAACCUUUGGGAGGCUCUGUAACUUUUGAUUGGUCAUUUUGAAUAAUGCUUGUCAUGCUGUAACUUUGUAUUGGAUUUAAUUAGUCAUGUGA